GGUUAACGCUAGCGGUGCGCCUAACACAUGCAAGUCGAGCGAUGAAUUUUCUUCGGAAAUGGAUUAGCGGCGAACGGGUGAGGAACACGUGAAGAAUCUGCCCUCCACUUUGGGAUAACACAGGGAAACCUGUGCUAAUACCGAAUAUUGAAACAUAAGUCGCAUCACUGAGUUUUGAAAGACUUUCGGUGGAGGAUGCCUUCGCGGCCUAUCAGCUAGUUGGUGAGGUAAUGGCUCACCAAGGAAACGACGGGUAGCCGGCCUGGGAGGGCGACCGGCCACACUGGGACUGGGACACGGUCCAGACUCCUACGAGAGGCAGCAGUGGGGAAUAUUGGGCAAUGGAGGAAACUCUGACCCAGCGACGCCGCGUGCGGGAUGAAGGCCUUCGGGUUGUAAACCGCUUUCAGUAGGUAAGAAGCGAAAGUGACGGUACCUACAAAAGAAGCACCGGCUAACUAUGUGCCAGCCGCCGCCGUAA
rnacentral:rRNA from 1 species